UACCGGCACGGCGGUCUUGAGAGGAGCUUCCGGUUUGUGGUGUUUCUAUAUUUUUUUCCCCUCCUUUGAGCGGCCGUCAGUCGUGGCCGCUGGCGGCGGUGGUGAUGAUGGAGGCGGCGGCAGGAGGUCCUGGGGAGCGCUGGGCGCCGGUGGGCGCGGUCGCCGAGGCUGAAGUCGGGGAGGAGGACGUCGUAGGGGAAGAGGCCGAGCCGGGGUCCCCUCGGUCGCUGCGGGCGGAGCGGCGCCGCCUCCACUCGGCGCUCUUGGCUCUGGCCUCCCAUUUCGCCCAAGUCCAGUUCCGGCUCCGGCAAGUGGCGCGGGCCGGGCCGGCUCAGCAGCAGCGCCUCCUCCGCGAGCUGGAGGAGUUCGCCUUCCGCGGCUGCCCAGGCUCCGGCUUCGGCUUCGCUGCGGCGGCCGUGGAGGGAGUCGCGGGCGACGCCAAGAGUGAGCAUGAGAAACAAGAACAACUGGAGGCACGGAAGGAGAAGCAGCGAGAGCUUAUCCUACAGCUCAAGGCUCAGCUAGAUGAUUUGGAAACAUUUGCCUAUCAGGAAGGCAGCUAUGAUGCACUGCCCCAGUCCAUGGUCAUGGAGAGACAGCAGGUGCUUAUUGAAGAACUGAUCAAGAAGCUGGACAUGAAUUUGAGUGAGGACGUUGCUUCACUGUCCCCAGAAGAAUUGCGUCAUCAGGUGGAUGCUGCUGUGGCCCAGAUUGUCAACCCAGUACGUGUGAAGGAACAGCUGGUGGAACAACUGAAAACCCAGAUCCGGGAUCUUGAGAUGUUUAUCAGUUUUAUACAGGAAGAAAUCAGUAGUCCUGGGAAACAAGACGAUGGGCAUUGCGACUGUUCAGCGGGAAGUGGCACCUGCAAGCCAAACACCCAACAGCCCCACAGAAGUAACAGAGUAAACAGUGAAGAAGCCCAGAGGAUGCGGGAGACGGGGCUGCACCUCAUGCACCGAAUGCUUGCUGUGCUACAGAUUUUUGCUGUGAGCCAGUUUGGUUGUGCAACAGGACAAAUUCCACAACAUUUAUGGCAGAAGGACCAUUCUGACAGGGACUAUUCACUUUUAGUGAACAAAUUAGAGAUGGCUGUAGCCCAUGUGAGACAGCUGGCCCAGAAGUAUCAGCUACAAGAGCCAGAACAUGUCAUUAGCUACUCAGGUGUCCAUGAUACCUCCUUUGGAGGACGAGAUGAGCUCACGUUGGCUGUGCGUAAGGAGUUGACAGUUGCAGUGCGGGACCUUCUGGCCCAUGGGCUCUAUACUCCGUCGCCUGGGAUGAGUUUGGUCCUAGCCCCUAUUGCCUGUUUAUUGCCUGUGUUGAGUUCCUCCCCUCAGGCCAUGCACCCAUGGGAGCUUUUUGUGAAGUAUUACAAUUCCAAAAAUGGGCGUGCCUUUGUAGAAUCACCGGCUCGCAAACUUUCUCAGUCUUUUUCCCUCCCAGUGAUGGGUGGGGCACCUGCCACCCCAAAGCAGAGCCUACUCUCGGCAAUCCACACAGUCCUGUCAGAGCAUGACCCCUUCAAGCGUAGUGCAGACUCGGAAUUGAAGGCUCUUGUGUGCUUGGCUCUCAACGAGCAGCGACUGGUCUCCUGGCUCAACCUCAUCUGCAAGUCGGGGGCUCUGAUCCAAGCCCACUACCAGCCCUGGAGUUACAUGGCCCAGACAGGUUUUGAGGGGGCCCUCAAUAUCCUUAGCCGUCUCAGUAACCUACGCUUUCACCUACCUGUGGACCUGGCUGUGCGGCAGUUGAAGAACAUCAAGGAUGCCUUUUGAGUGAAUAGGGCAGGUGGAAUCCAACCUAUACCACUUUUCAUGCGUGGGAGAACUUACUGCUAAAUCCAAGAGGUGACUUCCAUAUGUUCACAUGGGGGAUAAUGCUGCUAGCAAUCUUCUGUUGUUGAACUUCUGGCUACUUCCAUUAUGUGCACAACACUACAUACAGCUCCUGCUAAAAACAGGGUCUUUGUAGCUGCUGUUUUGUUCUGGGGAAGAGGUCAUCAUAUUUUUCUUAUAAUGAGGCCACAAGACAAACUUGGCAGCAGGGCAGGAGGUCAUCUCUCCUACCAAUGGAAGCCUCUGAGUUGUUGAUUAAAAAAAACUAUCCGUGCCUCAAAUCCCAUGCUGUUGUAAUCAUGUCUGAACCAUGUUGGUUGCUGUUUGACAUCACUGUCUAAGAAUUCUGAUUUCUGAGGCAUGUUGUGAGAAACAUCACCCCAGAUCUGUAGAUUCAAAUUUAAAAGCACUGGCAGAAUUUCCAAAAUCAGCAUGGUCCUUUCCUAUGGUGGUCACCUUAAGCUAUUUGACACGUUGCAGGGCCAAAAACCUGCAGGGAAUUUUCCAGUCAGAUUGUUAUAUGCUAGAACAGAAUUUUGCAUACACUUUUAUGGCAACAAAUGGAUCUCACAUGUGCCCGUUACUGAGCUGGCAGGCUUGCAAGGUGGUGAAAGAUGAAAGAAUGGACUCAAACGUAAUCAGUCACCAUGGGGGAAAAAAGAAUGUCUUGUUAGACUUUCAGGAAUUAGGACAUAUUGGCCAGAAUUCUGUUGCAUUUUACCCAGUGUGAAAGGGCAGCUAUCCACGAGCAUUUCACUGUUUUCUGGCUGUUGCUAGAAAGAUAGUUAGCAUUGCUUGUAGUUAUUUUCUAUCAUGUAAUGGAAGAUUUUGGGCAUUAUGGCUUUCUAUAUUGAGUAUGGGGGGGGGAGUGUUUUUGCCUGGAGCAGGAGGGUUUGUUUUAUGAUUUGAUAAAACGCACCUAUCUUGCUGUGUGAAAGGAUGGUGGAUAGAGGUGACAGGUUUAUACCUUUAAUGAAAAACAUUUUAGCUUGCCUGUUUGAAUAGCAGUUGUAACUGCAUCUUUGAAGGAACAAGCAGUUUGGUGCUGGCACAAAAAGUAAGUUUCCCUGUUUUUGCAUAGCCAGCCCUAAGCAAGCUGUUUUUGGAAUUAGAGGUGCAUGACCUUGAACCUGUUGAUCCUCAGACUAGCUUUCUGGAAGUAGCAAGGCUUGGCUGGAAUAUUUGAGCUGUUUUGCUUCAGUGGAGGAGAAUAGUGGCAGAGGAUUAAGUGUAAAAUACUGAGAUUAGGGGAGCGAUAUCUGUUCAGGGCCUACUUGUCCCUUAGUGCCCUGCUGAUAGGCUCAGCACACAGCAUUUGUGAAAUUCCUUAUCCCAAAUAGGUGGUAUCUGUAAUGCUACGUUGUAUUACUUAGGAGUAGAGACUCCAACUUACAUGGGGACUCUCCACAUGAGAAAAAUUGUAUUCUGGAAAAUUAGUGUUUUUGCCUGUUUGGACAGCUUGCAUACUACCUUUCCUUUUCAGACUCAGCAGUCGUCAUGAGGAGAAAAAGUUACCAUAGAGGGUGUAGGGUAGGCACUUCCUUCCUUAUAUGCUGAGAAAACUAUAUUCUAGAGCCUGAAUGGAGCUGUUGUAUUGGUGAGAUUUGAGACGCUGAAGGCAUCAAUACCAUCUUCAAAACAAAAUUCAGUAACAGUUUGGUCACAGAACACAGAGAAAAAGUUGAAUGGCAAACUGCUAAGUGUGCUAGGUAAAGUCUGUGUAUUUCUGCAUAUUAAGUGGCCUGUGCUCUGUGUGUGUGUGUGUGUGUGUGUGUGUGUAAAUUAUGCCAAUGAAACACCUCUGUUUUAACAAACAUCUACUCCUGCUUUUACCCCCUUAAUUUAUGUGUUGGAUGCACUUUAGAAAAUGAUGCCCUGGCUCUUUAGGGUUUUUUUAAAUGUUUCUUAUGCUUUACUUAAGUUCAGUGCAAGAGGAGGAAUGUAUUGGUCAAGAAUUGUAUCUGUUGCUAGUGGUAAUAAAUUCAGUCUGGUAUCUUG